rnacentral:rRNA from 1 species
AACGAACGCUGGCGGCAGGCCUAACACAUGCAAGUCGAACGGGACCUUCGGGUCUAGUGGCGGACGGGUGAGUAACGCGUGGGAACGUGCCCUUUGGUUCGGAAUAGCCCCGGGAAACUGGGAGUAAUACCGGAUAAGCCCUACGGGGGAAAGAUUUAUCGCCAAAGGAUCGGCCCGCGUUGGAUUAGGUAGUUGGUGGGGUAAUGGCCUACCAAGCCGACGAUCCAUAGCUGGUUUGAGAGGAUGAUCAGCCACACUGGGACUGAGACACGGCCCAGACUCCUACGGGAGGCAGCAGUGGGGAAUCUUAGACAAUGGGGGAAACCCUGAUCUAGCCAUGCCGCGUGAUCGAUGAAGGCCUUAGGGUUGUAAAGAUCUUUCAGUGGGGAAGAUAAUGACCGUACCCACAGAAGAAGCCCCGGCUAACUCCGUGCCAGCAGCCGCGGUAACAC